rnacentral:misc_RNA from 1 species
AGGAGGCUCGCUUGUCGCUGC